CUACGGGUUGCAGCAGUGAGGAAUAUUGCACAAUGGGGGAAACCCUGAUGCAGCAACGCCGCGUGGAGGAUGACGCAUUUCGGUGUGUAAACUCCUUUUAUCAGAGAAGAAAAUGACGGUAUCUGAUGAAUAAGCUCCGGCUAACUCCGUGCCAGCAGCCGCGGUAAUACGGAGGGAGCAAGCGUUAUUCGGAAUCACUGGGCGUAAAGGACGCGUAGGCGGGUUUUUAAGUCAGGUGUGAAAUCCUAUGGCUCAACCAUAGAACUGCACUUGAAACUGGGGACCUAGAGUAUGGAAGGGGCAGGUGGAAUUAGUGGUGUAGGGGUAAAAUCCGUAGAUAUCACUAGGAAUACCGAAAGCGAAGGCGACCUGCUGGGACAUUACUGACGCUGAGGCGUGAAAGCGUGGGGAGCAAACAGGAUUAGAUACCCUAGUAGUC
rnacentral:rRNA from 1 species